CACAGUCUCUGUGCCUGGUACGUAAUUCACUAAGACAGAAUUAAACGUUUCCUGUUUAUAUUUCUCUCUAUACGUUGAAGUCUCCUGAGUGCCGGAUUUGUCUACAAGUCAGCCAUGUAUGUACUGUAAACAUCUGCGUAUUUACAAUGCAGAAUUCCCCUAAUUCUCAAUACCUCAGAUAAUGAUCGACUUCUUAAGAAGAUACACGUGGAAUUACAGUCUCGUCCUCUCUACAGUUUAACUUUGGAUAAUCAAUGACCACAGCCAGGCUGGAAGAAGAAAAACAAGUUGGCAGCUGUGACUAUGUGUUAAAAGGGAUGUUUAUGACUGGAUGAUUAAGAACAGCCGUUGGAAGGGAUCGAGACUGGCAGCAAAGACCGUCAGAAUAGAGACCCAACUGAAUCAUUUGCACAACCUUUUUCUUAUCUUUCCGUGAGACAAAGUUCAUACAGAGAGAUAAGGAGACACUGCAAAUCAGAAGCUAAGCCUGGAAGAGCCUCCUGCAUUCAGAGAACCUUUGCUGCUACUUCAUUUUCCUAAGGAAACCCAGCAUAAUCAUUUGAGCGUUUGGAUUAGCACAUCUACUGGGAGGACAAAGGGAUAAUGCCAACUCUAUCCCUUUCUCUGUAGCCCUUGUAAACAAGCGCAAUACCCACUCAGGCCCAAGAUUUGUAGCUGGUUCUAAAAGGGCAAAGGUUCCCCAUGACUCCAGGCAACAGGAACACACGCAAAAAAAACUCUGUCCCUUUGCUCCAGGCAACUGCUAGACAGAGGGUUGGGGUUCUGUUCUGUGCUGUUUGGGCUUUUUUCCCUCUGGAGGUGUAGUGCCUUUGCUCUUAAAGCAUUCUCAUCUACCUGGGAAAAUCACACAGGGUUACUUCUUGCUCAGCUCGUCAUAUUCAGCCCAUUGCCUUGGAUAGCUGCUGCUUCCAGAGCUACCACUGUCCAAAGACACGUGUCCCAGGGCACCCCACGCUUAGCCCAAGCUAAUAAAUCAAGUGUAUGACUGUCAACUGAUUAAAACCUGCUGAUGUUGCUAUUAAUAGUUUUCAGCAUUAUGAAAUGUUGGCUUUCUUAUUACUGCAUCAAACUUCAUCAUUUUCUCACCAGAAGCUUGAGAGCAAGAUUGCAUAAAGCAAGCAACAGGAACUCAAACAAAUGGUACCUGGGCUGGUUCAAUGGAGACCAAAGAAAAGUAAAUGUACUGAAUCCUAUUGGUUGGCAUGAAAAGUAAUAGUUUCUUAUUGCUGAGAUGAUCCUUCCUCAUCCAAAGAUGACUCAAAAAAAUUGUUUUUUGUUUGAAGGGUUGCAAGUUUUGUGUUGUCUUUCUGCAGUUUGGGUAACUACUCCAUGACCCUGAGCUCUGGGGUGCUCCCGAGGCAGACCCACAGCAGAACGGGUGCACACAGCCUGUGCCAUUUGUUCUGGGCAUCAGAGCUGAGAAAGGAACAAAUGCGGGCUGCCUCAGCGGGUCUGUGCCCUGCUGAGUUGUUCCUGGUGAUGUGAACACGUUUAUGGCUGGGGCAGUUAAGCUGCUGGCUCUGGAGCUGUUUCGAGCUGCUGGAGGCAUGCCAAGGGUCUGGCUCAACUGAUAGAUCUUGUUUUCAAGUUGCACAAGCACGAGUAACCUGCAAGGCUCCAUUAUUUGUUUCAGUACAAUUGUUGAGAUAGGGUUACCUAUAUAGCAGCUACACAGGAACCCAUCUUGGCAUUUGUCACCUCACCUUAAAUGUCCUCCCUAGAAGCUGCAUCCUCACCUGUAGGCCUUUGGGUCUGACCUUACAGCUGGUAUUCUGACCUCCACAGUCUGCAGAGGUCGGGGUGAUAUUCACCUUCUUCUUUUGAGAAGCUGUAGAUCAUAUUCACCCCUGAUGUAAAACCUCCAACCUUAGCCCUUAUUAUUAUUUUUAGGACAAAAUCAGUCAGGUUUCAUCAUGAACCAAAGAGUAAUUUUAAUAGGCUUGAGCUUACAAGUGUGACGUUCCCUACUUGUGCUUAUGCUUUUUCUUAUUGUUUGCUGUACCUCUGUGCUCUUUAGAAGUUCAGAAUGAGUUUCUCUUCUCAAAGGGUUUUUGCACAGGCUCUGGGAGAUGCUUGUGUAAGGGUAAAACAUGCAUGUGUUCAACUACGUGGCUGGUGGCUGUUUGCAGAGCUCACAGCAGGACCAAGAGUGGGAUCUGGGACGAUUACAUUAAAGAGGAGGUGGAAAAUUUCCCUCCCGCAUUCCCUACCGCUGCAAAAACAGACCAAUUUGCAGGAGCUCGUAUGCUACUCCAAAGGACCAAAAACUGGAGGAAUAACAGUUGUUACAUAUGGAAUUAUUUGGUGAUGGUGGACGUGAACAGGCAUUUUGGAGUAUGUCUGUGAAGAUCAGUUCUUGGUGGCUUUAGGACAAGAAGAAAUAGCAGAGGAGAAGGGAAAACAAAUGUGUGCUGAAGCAGGGAGCAGGUGGAAAGUAAAACAUAAGUGGGACUGCGGGGAGUUUUGAAGGACCAGCCGGGGGUUGCUCUGAGCCCCGGCCACCACCGUCCCUCAUAGACUGUCCUACUGCUGUAAAGCACACAGACAAAGUGCUUCCUGAGAUUUUAUCCUCCCACUUCAACUAUUUUUGAAGUUCUGUGAAUGGGAACUACAACUUCACUCGCUGGCAAAGGAACUCCACCUCGAAUAGCUGCUACAGUACAUCUUCUAAAAACAAUAACAGGGGUUUUUAUUACUCCUUUGUGGCAAAAUCCACAUCAGUAACCCCAGUACGGUGUCUGCAAACAAAACUCCAUUUUCUGUGACGUGUUAAAAACACAUCAAAUUAUGGCAACGCUCCAAUACAGUGCAAAAAAUGCAAUAAAUAUUCCCUUGAAGGGAAGGUGACAUUUUUUUCAGACUCAUUUUCCACUGCAAUCUCAGUGCCCCCUCAGCAGCCAUUAUCUGGGGCCAUAGAAAAUGCUUCUUGUUCCCUCUGACCUCGCUGGGAGCAGAGUCAGAGAGUGACUGAGAGGGCUUUCAAUAAUGGAGCUGGAUUCGGAGGUGAAGACUGUAUGAACUGCUCCUCUGUAUCCUGAGAAUAUCGAAACGCAGUGCAGCCCUAUUACUUAGUGAGGAUCUGCUCGUCGGGAAGUCACUGCGGGAAUAAUGAGGGGGGAAGAACAAGAGGAGGAGGAAAAGGUGAGAAGAAAAGAGAGAGGGCGAGAGGGAGCAAAGAGGAAAAGGGGAUUUGCUUUUGAUGUCACACUUCUAUCAACUCAUGCAUUUUUCAUGGAUACCAACUAAUUCUGCAGUAACGCCGUGCUGACAAUCCAGGCACGAGAAAAAAUCAGCCCAGCUCCCACAUACCACCAUACUGGCUUAAAAGUGAAGAUACUUUGCAAAAUGAUCCAUUUUAUUGUUUAAUUCCCUUCUAAUUUGGGAGUUUCAGGUUCACGUAUUCAAGCUCUUCUCUCCAACUUGGGAUUCAGAAAUGUAAUUAUUUUCAUGUAAGCCGAGGUUCCAAUUUAAUCCCAUCUGCCGAAGAGUUUGAGCUGAAAACAAAGCGCAGUGUUGCAAAAUCUCACUGUAAUCAUAGGGGCUGCCAACAGUAAAUGUCACAACCGUGGCAUAUCGUAGGGUUUUGAUGCAAAACUAACUAAAAUUUAUGAGAUGUUAGGAGCGCUAAAAGUGCAUCCACUGAAGUUGCAUCUGUGCCAUUUGCUAGUAAUUAAUUACAAACUGAAAGUGAAGCCAACUGGCAAAUAAAAAUAAGCUGGUGGGACUCGGAGCUAACCUGCGCUGUACUUCAAGCUUCAUGUUUUGUAAACUUGAGGAGAGCGCUGGCAUUUCUCGGUGCUUUUGAUUAAAACCCGAUCACUUUUUAAACAAAGCAAUUCACGACUUCGAGUGUAAACAUUCUUUGAGGUUGCAGUCAUCCGGGCUACAGCAACGCCGAUCCUCGCAGGGAAGACAAACAGCCCCUGCACAGGUGCGGGAAGCAGCACAGCACCUUUACGUGCCCGAGCAGGGUUGAUGCUGAAGGCUCCUGCUUAGAUGUCAGCCCCCAGACACCGCCCACCUGCGUGGUUCUGGGGGGGUUCCGGCAAUAGUUCUCUACGUUGAUGUGUAAGCGCUGGAGCCCGCGGUGGGCUCUCCGCAUACGUCUCUCAGCCGGCUGUCACGUAAGAGAUCACAACUAGACCAACGUCCCUGGUUUAAUUACGUAUGGAAAUGCCUUAAAGAUAGUAAAAACGGUGGAAAAAAAAAAAAAAAAACCACGAAACAAACAACCCGAGCGCACCGGUAACGCGAUGUACGGACGUCUUCAACGAACUGGCGGAAAAAUAAAGGGG
ensembl:lncRNA